rnacentral:lncRNA from 1 species
UCUGACGGCGACAAGACGCGACGUCUGACACCUGACGCCGACGUGACUUCUGACACCGACUAGACGUCCAGAUCGCUUGGCAUUUAUGAGACGUCUGACAUCGGAUCGGCCGGCGGUACGGUCGGAUCUGUGCAUACGACAAAUCCACUCCCAGUCGCCCAGGAUUGCUGCCUGAAUGAAAGCAUCGGCCAGCUCACCAUCCGACUUAGGAGUGGAGGGGGGC